rnacentral:rRNA from 1 species
UACGUAGGGCGCAAGCGUUGUCCGGAAUUAUUGGGCGUAAAGAGCUCGUAGGCGGCUUGUCACGUCGAUUGUGAAAGCCCGAGGCUUAACCUCGGGUCUGCAGUCGAUACGGGCAGCUAGAGUGUGGUAGGGGAGAUCGGAAUUCCUGGUGUAGCGGUGAAAUGCGCAGAUAUCAGGAGGAACACCGGUGGCGAAGGCGGCUCUCUGGGACGGUACUGACGCUGAGACGCGAAAGCGUGGGGAGCGAACAGG